rnacentral:pre_miRNA from 1 species
UUGUUACUCCCUCCGUCCCAUAAUAAGUGCUGAAAUAUUACAUGUAUCUAGAUGUAUUUUAGUAUAUAGAUAUGCCAAUUUUUAGAUAAAUUUGAGUCACUUAAUAUGGGACGGAGGGAGUAUUUA